rnacentral:rRNA from 1 species
UACGAAGGGGGCUAGCGUUGUUCGGAAUUACUGGGCGUAAAGCGCGCGUAGGCGGAUACUUAAGUCAGGGGUGAAAUCCCGGGGCUCAACCCCGGAACUGCCUUUGAUACUGGGUAUCUCGAGUCCGGAAGAGGUGAGUGGAAUUCCGAGUGUAGAGGUGAAAUUCGUAGAUAUUCGGAGGAACACCAGUGGCGAAGGCGGCUCACUGGUCCGGUACUGACGCUGAGGUGCGAAAGCGUGGGUAGCAAACAGG